CGUUAACGCAAGGAGGGCCGAUUAUGGGACUUACGCAUUCGCUGAAUGUCCUCAUGAUAAGUGCAGCGUUCGUCUUCGUCGCAACCAUGCUUUUCAUCUGAAGCGCCAGGAGAUCAGAUAAUCGGAUUUUAUCCGAGCCAUUGCAGCCAGACAGCAUCUUGAACGCAGCAUGCGGAUG
rnacentral:sRNA from 1 species